CACAUACUUGUCUUACAUGCGGUUUUGCGAGACCUUAAUUCAGCAUGAAUUUUUUCCGUUUCAUCGAUUACUCUUUGCCAAAAGUUAUCAAUUAAAUUAGUCUAUAUAGCGUUACUAAUAUAAAGUUACCAGUGCACUUCAACCGAGUAAAUUUCCUCCCAUUUCAACAAAACUAUAGAAGACUGACCUCAUUACUUUUGCUUUUUUUAGCCGUCUUCUUCGACCUCGACGACGCACUUGACGCGAGAUCAGGAACUAACACCAAAAGGACUUCAAUCAACGCUACUAAAACCAUCGCACGAUGACACGCUCGCGAAAGAUUCAUGAUGGUAGGUUUGCGCACUCUCUCACGCUUUCCACUUUCUGCGCGCACUAUAUUCUAAAUAGCAAGGACCGCGCGCCCGUUCUUAUUAAAGCCCGUGCGCCACCGUAUGCUAUAUUUACACUGUUUUCUUCUGUUUG